UCUUAAUUCGGGACGCCCUUCGGGAAUAUCGUAUCCAAACGUAGAAGGGGGUGCUUCGUGCCAUAUUGUGUGAGACAAAUUUGCCCAUCUCUUGCGUGGAAAUAAGUCUAAUGCUGGUAUCCCUGAACGAAAAUUAAUGAUGUUACUGUCUUUGUUUAUUUCUUCGCACCAAGAUAAAGAAUCAAUUAGAGUUGAUUUUUUACGUUGUUCUAAAUAAGUCCCCUCAGCAAUGAAUGUUCCUGCUCCCUGUCGAGCGACCAAAAAACCUUCGGAAAAUAAUUGAUCAUAAGCUUCUAAAAUUACAUUCCUAGAUACGUUUAACUCAGAAGAUAAUUCCCGUGUUGAUGGUAACUUUUCUCCGGACUGUAGGUCUCCAUUUAAUAUUCGCUCACGUAUUUGGUAAUAAACCUGUCGAAUUAAACUAAUAUCUAACGAUCGAUCAAUAGGUAUCCAAAGCAUAUAAAUGCUCCCUUCAUCAAAAUUGGUACCAUAAAAAUUUGGCUAAAAUGGUACUAAUACGAACCAUUUUAGCAUGCUAUAGUUGGAUCAAAUAGUUCUAAGGGAGAUGAAAAUGUGAUGACGAAAGAAUUUCAAGUAGCUCAGGCAUUUAAAUCGAUUGCACGAAAUGAACAUAUAAAAUCCUAUGUACAACAAUCCACGGAGCUCUAUGUGUUAUUGUUACAAGCUGCGAAACGCUUUGUCACCGGAGAAACGAGACAUGAGGGGAUUGUGACGGCAAAAGAACUAAUUACAAAAGGGUAUCAUACUUCACUGGAGUAUAUAGGGGAAAAUAAGCUAGAUAUAAAGGAGUGUUAUAAGGCAAAAAAUGAGUUUUUGAAUCUUAUUGGGGACGUGGGUGCUCUUUCUAUAAAACAAACAGUAUCACUUGAUUUAUCGCAUAUUGGAUUAUCUAUAGAUCCAGAAAUAUCUUAUAUUCAUUUAAUGGAGUUGGCAGAGAAGGCAAAUGCACAAGGAACUACCCUUAUGAUAAGUAUGGAAGAAUCAUCUAAGGCAGAGGACAUUCUUUCUAUCUAUAAAAAAACAACAGAGCAAUAUCCUAACGUAGGGAUAACAAUUCAGGCACAUUUAUAUCGCUCGAACAAUGAUAUUCAAGAACUCCUACAUUAUCCAGGGAAAAUACGAGUUGUAAAAGGUGCCUAUCAAGAAGUUCCGGAUAUUGCUAUGCCUAGAUCAACCGAUUUAAAUCAGCAGUAUCUUCAAAUUGUAGAACAAUUAAUUGAAAACAAUCACCCUGUAUCUAUAGCUACACAUGAUGAAAUUCUUAUUAAAGAGAUGGAACAACGUCAAUAUUUUAGUCAAUCUAAUGUAGAGAUAGAAAUGUUAUAUGGAAUUCGUUCGGAUAUGUUAAGUAAUUUGAAAAACAAAGGACAUAACGCUAGAGUAUAUUUGACUUAUGGGAAAGAGUGGUAUUUGUAUUUAUGUCACCGGAUUGCUGAACAUCCAGAAAAUCUAUAUCAUGCGGUGACGGAUAUGAUACAUUCAUCUUCAGAGCAGCGGAGUCGGGAAUAUUGAAUAUACCUUUUAUCUUAAAUGUAAAAGUUAUUUUGGCUAUGGUUAUUGCGAGGGAGUUUAGUUGUAGUAAGGAAGUUAAAUAAUUGUGGCUGUGUCCCCAAAGUAAGAGUUAGAUUUUUCUUAGAUUAGAAAUUCUGGCUCGUUUAUAUCGGAAUUUUAAGCUUGUAGUUAGAAAUAAGUGAAUUUGUAAUUCUAUAUGUAUUUUAAAACGAAGGAUAUAUAAAAGAAUAAUAAAAUUACAUGUCAUAGGUAUAGGAUAAACAUACUUAAAUGUUAUAAAAAGUGAUACAAACAAAGGAACGCUUAUUCCCCAUCGGUGUGUUGAGUAUACUAGAUCAAUUGAGGCUCGUAUUUUUAAUCCUGUAUAUAUACUGAAAAAGAAAUGUUAUUAAUCGGUUCGGGCCUCGAAUGUAGUUUGUAUGCAUAUCUUAAGUUUCUGCUAAGAGGAUAUAACGGCUAUUACCACUAGGCUGUAUGGAAAUGGAUGAGGCCUAAAGAUGAAAGAGAUAUUAGGUGGAUAUUUCAGUGACGCAGGAUAGUUAGUAAAUAUAUUUGUAUAUAUUUAUGAGUAAACAGAUAAGUAAGGAUUACCUCAUAUAAGGGGAACUCUAUAACUAGAAUAGUAUACAAGUUUAUUAUGAACUUCUGUAUCGUUGUUUAUUAUAAGAAUACGUAUAUCUUUAAUCCUUUCUAAUGGGGUGCGUGAUAAACAAGGAGGUAUUUUGGGAAUAACUUUUUAAUUACACAUUAGUCUUUAUUAAUAUUGUUUGUUUCACUAAGUAAAACCUUUCAUAAUAAAUUAAGUCUAUAGGGCUAAGAUAACUUGGAUAUAUUUUGGAGGAGGAGAUUAAAGAAAAGUAGAAGUUGCUUUUCUAGUAAUGUAAUUUUUAUAGAUUCUUCUCUAGGUUAGAGAGUGGCAAAAUAUUAACUUGAAUAUAUUUAUAAAAAGGUGUUGACGAUUGCUACUUAGAGGUGUAAUAUAGAACAAGUCGCCGAUGACAUUAACGUCGAAAGCGACAAACGAAAUGAAAAACUUAGUUGACAUUGAAAGAUGAAAAUGUUAACAUAAGGAAGUCGCAAAUGAGCGACCAAGUAGUUCUUUGAAAACUGAACGAAACAAACAACGUGAAACGUCAAUUUUUAUUUUAUGAUGCUAGACAAACUAACUUUAUUGGAGAGUUUGAUCCUGGCUCAGGAUGAACGCUGGCGGCGUGCCUAAUACAUGCAAGUCGAGCGAAUGGAUUAAGAGCUUGCUCUUAUGAAGUUAGCGGCGGACGGGUGAGUAACACGUGGGUAACCUGCCCAUAAGACUGGGAUAACUCCGGGAAACCGGGGCUAAUACCGGAUAACAUUUUGAACCGCAUGGUUCGAAAUUGAAAGGCGGCUUCGGCUGUCACUUAUGGAUGGACCCGCGUCGCAUUAGCUAGUUGGUGAGGUAACGGCUCACCAAGGCAACGAUGCGUAGCCGACCUGAGAGGGUGAUCGGCCACACUGGGACUGAGACACGGCCCAGACUCCUACGGGAGGCAGCAGUAGGGAAUCUUCCGCAAUGGACGAAAGUCUGACGGAGCAACGCCGCGUGAGUGAUGAAGGCUUUCGGGUCGUAAAACUCUGUUGUUAGGGAAGAACAAGUGCUAGUUGAAUAAGCUGGCACCUUGACGGUACCUAACCAGAAAGCCACGGCUAACUACGUGCCAGCAGCCGCGGUAAUACGUAGGUGGCAAGCGUUAUCCGGAAUUAUUGGGCGUAAAGCGCGCGCAGGUGGUUUCUUAAGUCUGAUGUGAAAGCCCACGGCUCAACCGUGGAGGGUCAUUGGAAACUGGGAGACUUGAGUGCAGAAGAGGAAAGUGGAAUUCCAUGUGUAGCGGUGAAAUGCGUAGAGAUAUGGAGGAACACCAGUGGCGAAGGCGACUUUCUGGUCUGUAACUGACACUGAGGCGCGAAAGCGUGGGGAGCAAACAGGAUUAGAUACCCUGGUAGUCCACGCCGUAAACGAUGAGUGCUAAGUGUUAGAGGGUUUCCGCCCUUUAGUGCUGAAGUUAACGCAUUAAGCACUCCGCCUGGGGAGUACGGCCGCAAGGCUGAAACUCAAAGGAAUUGACGGGGGCCCGCACAAGCGGUGGAGCAUGUGGUUUAAUUCGAAGCAACGCGAAGAACCUUACCAGGUCUUGACAUCCUCUGACAACCCUAGAGAUAGGGCUUCUCCUUCGGGAGCAGAGUGACAGGUGGUGCAUGGUUGUCGUCAGCUCGUGUCGUGAGAUGUUGGGUUAAGUCCCGCAACGAGCGCAACCCUUGAUCUUAGUUGCCAUCAUUAAGUUGGGCACUCUAAGGUGACUGCCGGUGACAAACCGGAGGAAGGUGGGGAUGACGUCAAAUCAUCAUGCCCCUUAUGACCUGGGCUACACACGUGCUACAAUGGACGGUACAAAGAGCUGCAAGNUGUGAUGGGGAAGCUCCUUAUGGAGCGAAGUCUUUGAUUCCCCGCUGCCAAGAAAAGCUUCUAGCGAGAUAAAAGGUGCCUGUACCGCAAACCGACACAGGUAGGCGAGGAGAGAAUCCUAAGGUGUGCGAGAGAACUCUGGUUAAGGAACUCGGCAAAAUGACCCCGUAACUUCGGGAGAAGGGGUGCUUUCUUAACGGAAAGCCGCAGUGAAUAGGCCCAAGCGACUGUUUAGCAAAAACACAGCUCUCUGCGAAGCCGUAAGGCGAAGUAUAGGGGGUGACACCUGCCCGGUGCUGGAAGGUUAAGGAGAGGGGUUAGCGUAAGCGAAGCUCUGAACUGAAGCCCCAGUAAACGGCGGCCGUAACUAUAACGGUCCUAAGGUAGCGAAAUUCCUUGUCGGGUAAGUUCCGACCCGCACGAAAGGUGUAACGAUUUGGGCACUGUCUCAACCAGAGACUCGGUGAAAUUAUAGUACCUGUGAAGAUGCAGGUUACCCGCGACAGGACGGAAAGACCCCGUGGAGCUUUACUGUAGCCUGAUAUUGAAUUUUGGUACAGUUUGUACAGGAUAGGCGGGAGCCUUUGAAACCGGAGCGCUAGCUUCGGUGGAGGCGCUGGUGGGAUACCGCCCUGACUGUAUUGAAAUUCUAACCUACGGGUCUUAUCGACCCGGGAGACAGUGUCAGGUGGGCAGUUUGACUGGGGCGGUCGCCUCCUAAAGUGUAACGGAGGCGCCCAAAGGUUCCCUCAGAAUGGUUGGAAAUCAUUCGUAGAGUGCAAAGGCAUAAGGGAGCUUGACUGCGAGACCUACAAGUCGAGCAGGGACGAAAGUCGGGCUUAGUGAUCCGGUGGUUCCGCAUGGAAGGGCCAUCGCUCAACGGAUAAAAGCUACCCCGGGGAUAACAGGCUUAUCUCCCCCAAGAGUCCACAUCGACGGGGAGGUUUGGCACCUCGAUGUCGGCUCAUCGCAUCCUGGGGCUGUAGUCGGUCCCAAGGGUUGGGCUGUUCGCCCAUUAAAGCGGUACGCGAGCUGGGUUCAGAACGUCGUGAGACAGUUCGGUCCCUAUCCGUCGUGGGCGUAGGAAAUUUGAGAGGAGCUGUCCUUAGUACGAGAGGACCGGGAUGGACGCACCGCUGGUGUACCAGUUGUUCUGCCAAGGGCAUAGCUGGGUAGCUAUGUGCGGAAGGGAUAAGUGCUGAAAGCAUCUAAGCAUGAAGCCCCCCUCAAGAUGAGAUUUCCCAUAGCGUAAGCUAGUAAGAUCCCUGAAAGAUGAUCAGGUUGAUAGGUUCGAGGUGGAAGCAUGGUGACAUGUGGAGCUGACGAAUACUAAUAGAUCGAGGACUUAACCAU
rnacentral:rRNA from 1 species